UUCAAUCGUGGCGACUUUGACAGGAGGCACUUUUCCUUUCUUUGGAACUUCCGCUUCUGAUUCAAUUGUAGCUACGCCUGCAACGUAGGGAAAUUGCACUCCAUAAGCUGGAGGUGGCAUGGCAAGCUCUUUGACCUGCAUUGCCGCUUCUGGAACCGGUGCCUCCUUUGCUUCUACUGGAACACCUACAGGUUGUUCUCGCGUCAUGAAUUCUGGCACGUGGAGGUAUUCCAACUCGUAAGAAGGAGGCUCUACGUAAAGCACUACGGCUGGUGUCAUGGCCUCGAAAGCUCUCGCUUCCUUUACUUCUAGCGGCGGUGCUACUUCCGGUUGUUCAGUUGUCAUGAAUUCUGGCACAUACGUGUAUUCCGGCUCGUAAGUGGGGGGCUGUACUUGGACGUAUUCAGGCGCUUCUAUCGUGGGGACUUUGAGAGGAGGCCUUUCUUCUUUCUUUGGUAAUUCAGCUUCUGAUUCAAUUGUAGCUACUCCUGCAACGUAGGGAAAUUGCACUUCAUAAGCUGGAGGUGGCAUGGCAAGCUCUUUGACCUGCAUUGCCGCUUCUGGAACCGGUGCUUCCUUUGCUUCUACUGGAACACCUACAGGUUGUUCUCGCGUCAUGAAUUCUGGCACGUGGAGGUACUCCAGCUCGUAAGAAGGAGGCUCUACGUAAAUCACUCCGGUUGGUCUCACGGUCUCGAAAGCUCUCGCUUCCUUUACUUCUAGCGGCGGUGCUACUUCAGGUUGUUCAGUUGUCAUGAAUUCUGGCACAUACGUGUAUUCCGGCUCGUAAGUGGGGGGCUGUGCUUGGACGUAUUCAGGCGCUUCUAUCGGGGGGACUUUGACAGGAGGUCCUUUUUCUUUCUUGGGAACUUCCGCUUCUGGUUUCAUUGUAGCUAC